GUAGGCAGCAUUCUAAGGCAGCAUUUGUGCGCUCCCGAGACAAGUGAUGUCCCAUUCGGAAGGCAGCAUAAGUCAGCUGCCUUCUAAGGUGCCUUAUUUUGACCAAAUCUGAAGGCAGCAUCGCAUGUGUCCUUGUCGGUGAAGGCAUUCCCACAAUACUGUUCACCGGCCGAGAAUUCCAUCGCUCCGGUCUGAUAAACAUGGCGGACGAGGCGGCCGUUUUUUGCCGACCGAGGAGUUUACAAUGAACGAACGUUACAGCGGCGGGGAGCUGCUGUCUGAGGGGCUGAGGAAGAGGAGCGGUCACAGGGAGAAAACUGCGCUGAAUGACCGAAAGCAGCUCACUGGCCGAGGGUAUUUUGGGGGAAACACAGCGGGACCAGCGCUACAGACUGACGUUCUUCCUGAACGAUGAAAAGUAGUUUAACUUAUGUAGAAGUUCAGAAAUAAAAUAAAUACUACAGAUGCUUA